UACGAACUGCGCGAACGUUAUUCGGAAUCACUGGGCUUACAGGGUGCGUAGGCGGCUUCUCAGGUCCGAUGUGAAAUCCCCCAGCUCAACUGGGGAAUGGCAUUGGAAACCGGGAAGCUGGAGUGAGCUAGAGAUGCACGGAACUUCCGGUGGAGCGGUGAAAUGUGUUGAGAUCGGAAGGAACACCAGAGGCGAAGGCGGUGCAUUGGGGCUUGUCUGACGCUGAGGCACGAAAGCCAGGGGAGCGAACGGG
rnacentral:rRNA from 1 species